rnacentral:misc_RNA from 1 species
GAUGAAGAACGUGGCGAAAUGCGAUAAGUAAUGUGAAUUGCAGAAUUCAGUGAAUCAUCGAAUCUUUGAACGCACAUUGCGCCCGCCAGUAUUCUGGCGGGCAUGCCUGUUCGAGCGUCAUUUCAACCCUCAGGCCCCGCCUGGCGUUGGGGAUCGGCGCGGCCCUCUCCGGGCUGCCGGCCCCGAAAACUAGUGGCGGUCUCGCUGUAGUCCUCCUCUGCGCAGUAGCAACGCUCGCACUGGAACUCGGCGCGGCCACGCCGUAAAACACCCCACUUCUGAAAGUUGACCUCGGAUCAGGUAGGAAUACCCGCUGAACUUAAGCAUAUCAAUAAGCGGAGGA